AACCGCCGUAUACGGAUCCGUACGUACGGUGGUGUGAGAGGUCGGCAGUGUGAACUGCCUCCUACUCGAU
rnacentral:ncRNA from 1 species